rnacentral:rRNA from 1 species
AUUGAACGCUGGCGGCAGGCUUAACACAUGCAAGUCGAGCGGGGUGAUGGUGCUUGCACUAUCACUUAGCGGCGGACGGGUGAGUAAUGCUUAGGAAUCUGCCUAUUAGUGGGGGACAACAUCUCGAAAGGGAUGCUAAUACCGCAUACGUCCUACGGGAGAAAGCAGGGGAUCACUUGUGACCUUGCGCUAAUAGAUGAGCCUAAGUCGGAUUAGCUAGUUGGUGGGGUAAAGGCCUACCAAGGCGACGAUCUGUAGCGGGUCUGAGAGGAUGAACGGCCACACUGGGACUGGGACACGGCCAAGACUCCUACGGGAGGCAGCAGUGGGGAAUAUUGGACAAUGGGGGGAACCCUGAUCCAGCCAUGCCGCGUGUGUGAAGAAGGCCUUAUGGUUGUAAAGCCCUUUAAGCGAGGAGGAGGCUCUUUUGGUUAAUACCCAAGAUGAGUGGACGUUACUCGCAGAAUAAGCACCGGCUAACUCUGUGCCAGCCGCCGCCGUAA